UACCUCUCGCCCUUAACCUGUCUAUUCUAUCCCUUAUUUUUUCUUAAAUUUCUCCUCUCCAUACGAUAAUUGAGGAAAAACAACUACCAUAUUAAUCUUCCCCAUUUCGUCUGUCUGCGUGUCUGAUCCUGUUAUAUUGUUAUCAAGUGUACCUCUCGCUUAAGCUGUCUACUCCAUUCCUUACUUUUCUUUAAUUUUCCUCUCCGUACGAUAAUUGUGAGGAAAAACAACUACCGUAUUAAUCUUUCCCAUUCCGUCUGUCUGUUUGUGCUUUCUCCUCUACACAGAAUAGGGAGGGAAAAAAGGACAUCAUCAAACACUCCAAUUCUGUCUCUCUUUUUCUAUCUUUUUAUAUCGCCCUCUAGUAUAGUUCCCCGUUAAACUGUUCUCCAUUUAUUAUUUUUCUUUAAUUUCUCCUCUACACAGCAUAGGGAGAGGAGAAAGGACAUUAUCAAACACUCCAAUUCUUUCUGUCCGUCUCUUUUUUUUAUCCUUUUAUAUCGCCCUCUAAUGUAGCUCCCCCUUAAGCCGUUUUCUAUUCCUUACUUCUCUACAUAACUCUAAUUUCUCGUCUCCGUAAGAUAAGGGAGAGGAAAGAGGACGCUUAGAAUUCUUCCCGGGUAUUAUCAAACAACUUAUUCUGUGUAUCUUUCCCUCCUCCUCCUCCUCCUCCUCCUCCUCCUCCCUCUUAACUCGUCUCUUUUACCCCUUACUUCUCUAAUUUCUCGUCUCCGUAAGAUAAGGGAGAGGGCAGAGGAUGCUUAAAAUUCUUCCCGGCUGCUUCCCUGCUUGAGUUUCGUCGCCUUCAGAAACGAGAACUUCCAGGGGUAAAAAAAACUCCAUCUGGUCUAAGUUUUUAUCAACAUUACUUUCACGCGCGUAAUUGCAGUUUAGACUUAACUUCACACACAAACACUCAGAGUACCAACGCUCUAAACUUUCCCCUCGUAUAAUGUAAGCUCCUUAAAGUUGCUGGGAGGCCGCUGAAUACAUAAUCUACAAACAAGAAAGCCGUUGCCUGAAACAUUCUCGUUAGCAUCUACUUAAGGGCCGAGUGAGCGACGGGGAAAGGACCGGCGAGGACAAAGACUGAGACGAUGACUUAAGGGGCUAUUACACUGGGCAAAUUUUCCGUGGAUCUUCAGUCAGACCACGAUUUCCGCUAGCGUGGUUCUCAUUUGUUUCUUGUUAUUGCUGCUGAUGAUGAUGGUGAGUAAUACCGUCGUCCUUUGGUGAAAUCUACCGUAGCUUUGGAAGAUCGUGGACACGUCGGAGAACCACGCCAGCGGAAAUCGUGGUCUGACUGAAGAUCCACGGAAAAUUUGCCCAGUGUGAUAUCCCCUUUAGCUGUUGACGGCUAGCGGCAUCGUCAAAAGGACGGAGAGUUCUGAGAAAGAAGCGGAGUACUAAAAAUCGCGACAAACACCUCAGACUUCUUUUGCAAUGCUUAAUUAGUGUCGUAAGUUUGGGGUACGAGAGGAUGGGAGAGAGAGUUCGAGAGAGAGAAAGAGCAUCAGUACUUCAGGUUUUCCAUUUACUAUAUACAAGUUUUCGCCUCACAAUUGCGUCCAGUCCUCCCUUCACAUGCUCAACCAUAGACCGUGAGGGGUGACAACUGAUCGCUGGCUAGACUCGCUAUUAGCUAAGAUAUAAGCAACCUAAGAAUCAAUGGACUGUCAGGAUGUUGAUACGAGAGGGCCAGGUGACUGAUGGAUGCUGGGAAGGGUCGCCAAGUUACCAUUGGGAGGCAAAAUAACAUCUGACGAAGGAGGAAGUAGUGAAAAACUGUGGCAAUGGCUGACGGCGAUGCGUAGGAAGUUUUAAGAGGAAAUUUCGGGAUUCCUGAGUGGGUUUUUUUGUCUUCAUCUUUCCUUCGCGAAUAGCCGUGGGAAGUAAGAAGAGAAAAGUGAGUAUUGCCAAGUGAGAUGAUUAAAUGAAACUGACGUCUAUUAUUGCUGUUAUCAUCAAUGUUAUUCAAGUCACAUCCAUGCCCUCAGGUACAGCUAGAUGCAUGGUUCUCGUUGCUUCCCUUUGGCGCCCACGGUAUACAUAUUCUUCCCACCUAUGCAUUAUGUAUGUAUAUGUAUAUGUAGUUUUAAGUAUAGUACGAACCAUUAACACAAAAACGAUGAUAAAAUGGAUAAAUGGACGAUUGAAUGAGAGUAAAAAAAAGUAAACAUGAAUAUACUAAAUUUAUAAUCCAUGAUCAAAAGAAGUGCGUAAUGCGAGUGUGUGUGUGUGUGUGUGUGUGUGUGUGUGUGUGUGUGUGUGUGUGAUGAUAUACAGAACCACAUUUAUGGCUUUGAAGACCGCCAGAUUACGCGCACAUUAGUCGAAUGCAAACCUUCACUUUUUUUUUGUGCAACUUUUUAAUUUUUCAGGCAAUGCACAAAACACGGCUUCAUCUCUUUUUAAUGUACUCGAAUAUAUACAUAAUUUUUUUUUUUUUAGUAACAGAAAAGCGUAAUGUGUGUGUGUGUGUGUGUGUGUGUGUGUGUGUGUGUGUGUGUGUGUGUGUGUGUGUGUGUGUGUGUGUGUGUGUGUGUGUGUGUGUGUGUGUGUGUCAAACUUUUGCAAAUUUGGAGAGCGAGUGAGAGAGAGAGGAGAAAAGAGGGAAUAAUACAACUUUUCAACUUUCACACACUCGAAAACACGUGGAACUUGAAAGCCGUAGUAAGUUUUCUAAUGAGAGUCCGACUUGAAAACAGGAUAGAGUGGGAGGGCGUGAGAGGGAGAGGGAGAGAAGGAGGGAGUCACUCAGUCGCUAGGCAAGCCCCUCGCCUCACCUCCCUAAAAUGCUGUGUAAAUAGAGCCAAGCCGCCCAGAAGUAGCGGCACACGAGUUGAAAUCAGUGUUAUAACCGUAUGAAGGCCUGAACAUAUUUCCUCUUACCCUUGCCAAUAUACUACCCAUUUUCCUUUUCGGAGUGUGGGCAGCAAGCUCGUUUUCUUUUUUCUGAUCCCUGCCUAUACUAUCCCAUUUUCGUUUUUAGGGGGUGGGGGCAGUAAGGUUUGGGUAGGAAGCUCAUUUUUUCUUUCAUACACUGACCUCCGAUGUUAAAUAGCUGAAAUCAAGUGCUAUUGCUGUGUGAAAGCCUAACAUUUUAUUUUCUUAACCUUGCCAAUACUAUCCCAUUUUCGUUUUUCGGAGGUGGGGGCAGUAAGGUUUGGGUAGGAAGCUCAUUUUUUCUUUCAUACACUGACCUCCGAUGUUAUAUGGCUGAAAUCAAGCGCUAUUACUGUAUGAAAGCCUCGACAUAGUACUUUUUCUUACCCCUGCCAAUACUACCCCAUUUUCGUUUUUCGGAGGUGGGGGCAGUAAGGUUGGGUCAUAAAGCUCACAUCUUCUUUUCCAUACACUGACCUCCGCUGUUAAAUGGCUGUAUGAAGGCCUCGACAUACUUUUUUCUUAUCCCAGCCAAUACUACCCCAUUUUAGUGUUAGUGGGUGGGGCGGUAUGGUUGGGUCAGAGAGCUCAUAUUCUCUCUAUUUUCAUACACUGGUUUCCGCUGUUAUAUGGCUGAAAUCAAGUGCUAUUACUGUAUGAAGGCCUCGACGUGUUAUACUUCCUUCCCUGCCAAUACUACCCACUCUCCUUUUUAGGGGCGUGGGUCAGCAAGCUCGUGUUUCCUUUGUUUCAUACACUCACUGAUUUCUUCUGUUAUAAUUAUGUUAGUCUUUAAGGUGUUACUGUAUGAAUAAAAUAUCAAGAGUUUG